CCUCCCCCGCCCCCCCUCCCCUUUCCACAUUCCACCUCGGCCGCUUCCUCCCCGGGCCGGGGCUCUCCUUCCGACCUCUGCUUUUCUGCUCCAAGAAGAAGGCGGGCCAGUUUCGCAACGCAGAAGGGGAAAAGAAACCGAUUACACACAGCUGCCACCCGUCGCCCUUGUCAAACAUCGGGUUCCCUCCCGCACAUGAUCUCAUUUAAUCCUCAAAUCAUCCCUGAACAGGUACGUCCUCAUUUACUGCCCUCCUUUGGAGAGGCUGUACGUGGUGGCGGCUAGAGUUUGGACUCUGGAACCUGCCUUAGCAUCUCGGCUCCGCAGUUUACCAGCCGUGUGACCUGGGGGAAGUCCAACCUCUCCGUGCCUCAGUUGCUCGAUCUGUAGUUACUUCGUCCAGGAGUUGUUGUAAAGAUUAAAUGAACAAUGACACGAGUGCGUUAAACGGUAACAUGACGAACAGGAAUAUGUAUUGCCUGUCCUUCUGUCUUUUCGCGAUAGGGUGCUAACACAAUGAGGUGUGUUCUUUUUACUCUGCCACGGCCCAUUCAUUCGCUAGGAUUGACAACCUGGUGUGCGUUGAUCUUAACCAUAAAUCAGUUUCUGACGGUGUCUUGGAUGUGCACUGUGCCUUGUAGACUCAAGCUAACGUUACUGCUUCUGUUGCACCCUCGUCGAAACGUCUGUGAAGAAGCACUAGCAGGUUAAGGAUCCCCAACUUUGGAAAAGGAACGUGAUGUGAAACUAGAAUUCUCUGUUAAAAAGCCUUGUGGAAUUUUGCAAAUUACAGAAGUAGUACAUGCCUGUCAGAAGCUGGGACAAACAGUACAGAAGUGUAUUAAAGAGAGUUAGGCGCCCCCUGCACAUGCUUCGAGGCGCUCAGGGGUAAGAGCUUGGCAGGCAUCUGUGCACCUUUCCUUGCAUUUUUUUUUUUUUUCACGCUCAGAUACUCCUUUAUGUGGGUUUCCCCCUCCCUUUGUUCCCUCCUUCUGUUAAAAAUGGAGUCACUUACGUUAAACCCCACCAAAACUUAGUACCCAGGCUAAUUGCAGCUUCCCAGCUUCCCCAGAAAUGUGGUCCUUAACCAACCUGGGACUUUUCUGGUCAGCAUUUGGAGGUAACGCUGCUGGACCCUCCCGUUCCCCUUAGGGGGGGUGACCUUGCCUAAAACAAUGCAUUCUUUGCUAAGAAUACCGGCCCACCCCCCCCCACCUUUAAAACCCUCGGCUGCAGCUCAGUGGAGCUCCUUACUAUCUGCUAGAUGGAGUGCUGGCAAUUUGAUCUUUACAUUUACUCAGUUGAAUUUUUUUCUUUUCUUUUUUUCUCGUUUUUAAGUGUUUAUUUAUUAUCGAGAGACAGAGCACGAGCAGGGGAGGGGCAGAGAGAGAGGAGAGAGUGAGAAUCCCAAGCCGGCUCCUCACCGCCAGCACAGAGCCGGACACGGGGUUCAAACUCAUGAACUGGGAGAUCAUGACCUGAGCCACCCAGGCGCCCCAUGCCAGGCUUUCUUUUAAACAAAAGCGAGAUAAUUCCUCUGGAGAGACAUCCAAAAAGCUAUUCCACAGGUUCCCUCAAGGAAGGGAAACGUGAAACUUGGGAACAGAGGUGCAAGGGAGAUUGAGUUUUGACUGUGCCCUUUUGUGUUGUAGGGGCGAAGGCCGACUGCCCCCAAGAUGUGCCGCUUUGGUCACGCAGACCAUGCCGAGCUGAAAACAAUCCAGGCCCAGAAGACGCAGGGAGAAAUUUUGACCUUGCCCCCAAAACUGCCUCAAAGAAAUGAGAUUGGGGACGUGCUCCGGGAAGGGAGCCAUUGCCAUAUUUACCUACAUUAUAAUGUGAAGUAGGUAUGGUGGAGAGCGAGGAAUUCAGCAAAGUCUGGUUGAUCAAUAUCUUCCCUGUGUCCCAUUGUUUCUGGAUGACCCAGUCAACAUUUAUUUACCACGUUCGCUCUUUUUCAUUCUUCCUGUGAGCAUUCCUUCCCUUUGUAGUCUCAGACUCCUUCCUCCUCCUUAGUUCAGGGUGACUUCGCACUGCCUGGCUGUCUUUGGAAUCUUACGCGUGUGUGGAUUCCCUAUGCCCCUGAAAUUAAAUUUGAUUUUCUCCUGUUAA